rnacentral:rRNA from 1 species
GACGAACGCUGGCGGCGUGCCUAAUACAUGCAAGUUGAGCGCUGAAGGUUGGUACUUGUACCAACUGGAUGAGCAGCGAACGGGUGAGUAACGCGUGGGGAAUCUGCCUUUGAGCGGGGGACAACAUUUGGAAACGAAUGCUAAUACCGCAUAAAAACUUUAAACACAAGUUUUAAGUUUGAAAGAUGCAAUUGCAUCACUCAAAGAUGAUGCCGCGUUGUAUUAGCUAGUUGGUGAGGUAAAGGCUCACCAAGGCGAUGAUACAUAGCCGACCUGAGAGGGUGAUCGGCCACAUUGGGACUGAGACACGGCCCAAACUCCUACGGGAGGCAGCAGUAGGGAAUCUUCGGCAAUGGACGAAGGUCUGACCGAGCAACGCCGCGUGAGUGAAGAAGGUUUUCGGAUCGUAAAACUCUGUUGGUAGAGAAGAACGUUGGUGAGAGUGGAAAGCUCAUCAAGUGACGGUAACUACCCAGAAAGGGACGGCUAACUACGUG